rnacentral:rRNA from 1 species
UAGGCAUGAGUAACGAGAUAUAAGUGAGAAUCUUAUACCCUUGAAGCCCAAGGGUACCUGGGGAAGGGUCGUCCACCCAGGGUAAGCCGGUACCUAAGGAGAACCCGAAAGGGAUAACCGAUGGAAAACGGGUUAAUAAUCCCGUGCCUGUAUAUUAUGAAUUGUAAGCGGUGACGCAGAAGGCGGAUACGCGAGUUCUAGUGGCAUGAACUUUUAAGCAGUAAUACCGAAGAAGUCUGCAGGGAAGUCCACAGACAGAGGAGGAGCUGCGAAUACAAGACCGCAAGGUCAAGGCGUAGUAGUCACGCUGCCAAGAAAAGCCGCGUACAGUGCUUGAAUAAUAUACAGACCGUUCUGAAAACCGACACAGGUGGGCAAGCUGAGAAGGCUAAAGGGAGCGGAAGAACCUCCGUUAAGGAACUAGGCAAAAUGACCUCGUAACUUCGGGAAAAGAGGUGCUCCUAAAGGUGUCAAAACCGGAAGGAGUUGCAGUGACAAGGCCCUGCCGACUGUUUACCAAAAACACAGGUCUAUGCGAUUUCGGAAAGAAGAAGUAUAUGGACUGACGCCUGCCCAGUGCUGGAAGGUUAAGGGGAGUGGUGCAAGCUACGAACCGAAGCCCCAGUAAACGGCGGCCGUAACUAUAACGGUCCUAAGGUAGCGAAAUUCCUUGUCGGGUAAGUUCCGACCUGCAUGAAUGGCGUAACGAGUUGGGCGCUGUCUCAACGGAGGAUCCGGUGAAAUUCCAGACUGGGUGAAGAUGCCCAGGACCCGCAGUUAGACGGAAAGACCCCAUGGAGUUUUACUGUAACUUGAUAUUGUAAUUUGUUGUUAUGUGUACAGGAUAGGUGGGAGGCGGAGAAUCAAGGUCGUCAGAUUUUGAGGAGCCGACGGUGGGAUACCACCCUCAUGAUAAUGGAUUACUAACUAUUGUGUAUGAAGAGUACAGAUAGGACAGUGUUAGGUGGGCAGUUUGACUGGGGCGGUCGCAUCCUAAAGAGUAUCGGAUGCGUGCGAAGGUAGGCUCAGGUUGGUUGGAAAUCAACCGUUGAGUGCAAGGGCAAAAGCCUGCCUGACUGCGAGACUGACAGGUCGAGCAGAAGCGAAAGCUGGUCCUAGUGACCCGGCCGAUCCGAGUGGAAGGGCGGUCGAUCAACGGAUAAAAGUUACCCUGGGGAUAACAGGCUAAUCACGCCCGAGAGUUCACAUCGACGGCGUGGAUUGGCACCUCGAUGUCGGCUCAUCGCAUCCUGGGGCUGAAGCAGGUCCCAAGGGUUGUGCUGUUCGCACAUUAAAGCGGUACGUGGGCUGGGUUCAGAACGUCGUAAGACAGUUCGGUCCCUAUCUGCUGUGGGUGAAGGAAGCUUGAAGGGAGUCGCUUCUAGUACGAGAGGACCGAAGUGAGUGUACCUCUGGUGAACCAGCUGUCAGGCCAAUGGCAGGAGCUGGGUAGCUAAGUACGUAACAGAUAACCGCUGAAAGCAUCUAAGCGGGAAACUGACCCUAAGAUGGAGCUUCCCAUUCGUAAGAAGUAAGGGUUGUUCGAGACUAGGACGUUGAUAGGUCGCAGGUGUAAGUGCAGCGAUGCAUUGAGCCGAGCGAUACUAAUAGCCCGAGGCUUUGGCCAA